AAAAAAAAAAAAAAAUUUACGCCAGAUAAGCGCGAAUUGGUUCUGGCGCGCGCACUAGUACCACUGUUGUACUCUCACUUGCAACGCACGGUUUGUGCUACAGGCAUAUACGCACUCACACACCCGAAAAAGAGAAAAAAAAUUACGAAAAUUUUUUCGCGAAAUUGCGCGUAUACCUCGAGCUUCGAGUCGAGUGUGUUCUUCUCUUUAAAAUUCUUGAGGUCUUCUUUGCUGAAAACUGGGCGUAUACUAUUCCGCGUCUUCUCAUGGAAGUGACUAUAUGUCUCGCGCCCGCCGCGUUCUCGUGGAAUUGACCCUAUGUAGCGCCGCAAGCGCUCGCACUCACUCUAACACACUCGCGCCGCUGUGCGCUUCGCUCCACUCUGUACGUCGAGCUAAUGCCGCCUUAUUUCGUCACACUCUAUUCUGCCUCGAUUACCGGCGUGGCGAGGAACGUUGUUCCUCGUUACAACUUCGUAAAAUUGAACGAUGAACUUCGAGAUGCCAAUUAUGCCAAUCAAGUCGUGAGUAACACUAAUUGUUGAUACUUCCUCCCUCUCAUUCUCUCUCUCUCUCUCUCUCUCUCUCUCUCUCUCUCUCUCUCUGAUUUCGUAAAAAAAUUAUUUAUCUAAAAUAUAUUUACAGCGUAACUACAUAAGAAUAAUAGGAGGCAGGAAAAUCACCAAGCAUGAGACAACUAGAGAAACCUUGGGAAAAAUACUCACAGAUAAAGUUGCCAUAAAAUAUCAUUUUUGUGGAACGAUGCGCAAAAACAGAAAGUACCCUUUCAAAAUCUUGCGCAUAUGGGACUUGAUAUUUAAUGAAGUUGUGGACGUUUCCUACAAAUCGAAUGAAGCCGAUGACACCUGCAAAACAUGGUUGAAACAAGCAAAAAAAAAGAAUGGAUUCAGCAGCAUCUCGUGCAAAGAAAAUGGAAAAUAUUGCUCAUUCACACGAUAAUUCUCAAGAUACGGAAGAAGAAGAAGAAAAUGACACUACCCGUGUAAAAAAAAUGGUCUGGGAUAAAUCUUGGCAAAAUCUUGCUCAAGUCUUCCUGAAUUUUCUGGCUGAUUUCUACCCAGACUUACGUUUCUUCAGUAUCGAAGUUUAGGAUAAUCCUAGAGGUACACCAAGUUUGAAUUACUAUAUUGUAUACGAAAUUGAUGUAAAUUUUAUUCUUGUUCAAACGUA